rnacentral:piRNA from 3 species
GCAAUGGAUAGCGCAUUGGACUUC